UGGCUCAGGAUGAACGCUAGCUACAGGCUUAACACAUGCAAGUCGUGGGCAGCAUGGUUGUUGCUUGCAACAACCGAUGGCGACCGGCGCACGGGUGAGUAACGCGUAUCCAACCUGGCCCUUAGUAGGGGAUAGCCCGGCGAAAGUCGGAUUAAUACCCUAUGUUUUCCCAUGAGAGCAUUUGAAAGGGAACAAAGAUUCAUCGCUAGGGGAUGGGGAUGCGUCCGAUUAGCUUGCCGGCGGGGUAACGGCCCACCGGGGCGACGAUCGGUAGGGGUUCUGAGAGGAAGGUCCCCCACAUUGGAACUGAGACACGGUCCAAACUCCUACGGGAGGCAGCAGUGAGGAAUAUUGGUCAAUGGGCGAGAGCCUGAACCAAGCCAAGUAGCGUGAGGGAUGACGGCCCUACGGGUUGUAAACCUCUUUUGUACGGGAAUAAAGUGCGCCACGCGUGGCGUUUUGUAUGUACCGUAAGAAUAAGGACCGGCUAAUUCCGUGCCAGCCGCCGC
rnacentral:rRNA from 1 species